CCUACGGGAGGCAGCAGUGGGGAAUAUUGCACAAUGGGGGGAACCCUGAUGCAGCAACGCCGCGUGGGUGAAGAAGUACUUCGGUAUGUAAAGCCCUAUCAGCAGGGAAGAAAAUGACGGUACCUGACCAAGAAGCCCCGGCUAACUACGUGCCAGCAGCCGCGGUAAUACGUAGGGGGCAAGCGUUAUCCGGAUUUACUGGGUGUAAAGGGAGCGUAGACGGCAAGGCAAGUCUGGUGUGAAAGGCCGGGGCUCAACCCCGGGACUGCAUUGGAAACUGGGUUGCUGGAGUGCAGGAGGGGUAAGCGGAAUUCCUAGUGUAGCGGUGAAAUGCGUAGAUAUUAGGAGGAACACCGGUGGCGAAGGCGGCUUACUGGACUGUAACUGACGUUGAGGCUCGAAGGCGUGGGGAGCAAACAGGAUUAGAUACCCCUGUAGUC
rnacentral:rRNA from 1 species